AUACGGAGGGUGCAAGCGUUAUCCGGAAUCAUUGGGUUUAAAGGGUCCGUAGGCGGGCCAAUAAGUCAGGGGUGAAAUCCCACAGCUUAACUGUGGAACUGCCCUUGAUACUGUUGGUCUUGAGUUACAGUGAAGUGGUUAGAAUGUGUAGUGUAGCGGUGAAAUGCAUAGAGAUUACACAGAACACCGAUUGCGAAGGCAGAUCACUAACUGUAUACUGACGCUAAUGGACGAAAGCGUGGGGAGCGAACAGGAUUAGAAACCCUAGUAGUCC
rnacentral:rRNA from 1 species